CUGCUCAAUGAAUAAUUUUUAAUAGCUGCAGUAUAAUUAACUGUACAAAGGUAGCAUAAUAAUUUGUUUUUUAAUUAAAAACUAGAAUGAAUGAUUAUAUGAAAUAUAAACUGUAUCAAAUUUAAUAAAUAAAUUUAUUAUUUAAAUAAAAAAAUUUAAAUAAAUUUUAAAGACGAGCAGACCCUAAAGAAUUUUAUUNAUAAAUUAAAAAAUUAUUUUUAAAUUAUUAAAUUAAUUGGGGAAAUUAUAAAAUUUAAAAAAUUUUUAUUUAAAAAAACAUAAAUUUUUGAAUUUUUAUUUUUUUUUAAAAAAUAAAAUCAAAUUACCUUAGGGAUAACAGCAUAAUUUUUUUUUAAAG
rnacentral:rRNA from 1 species